GUCAGGUGAGUAUAUGAUGCAAUGCUCAGGUGACAAACACACACACACGCUGCCAGACUCUCGACAGGCAUGGAACGACGCGCUCUGCUUUUUGUUCUGCUCGUGUGUGUGUGUCUCUGGGCCGUGACUGAGGCCUUUCCGAGGACAUUUGGCAACCCUGAGCCGAGGCUGAGAAGACCGAUCCGGCCGCAUCAAGCCGGAUGCCUCUGUUUCUACCCCCCAUGCGACUGUGAGUACGACUGGAGGACAUGGUGAUAGAUGGACAGGUGGGAGAGCGGGCAGGUGAGGGGGUCGAGGACACUGAUGGGAGAGCAAGAGUAUGAGGAAGGAAAAAGAGAAGUGUCUGCAUGUUAGUCGCCAUUAAGAAGAUCAGAAAGGUGGACGGGUUGGGGGCAUGAAGAGAGACACCGACUAAUGGAUUUAACAAAGAGUAUGAAGAAGCUACAGGAAGAGAGUCUGCAAGUACUUCACCAUCAAGAAAAUCAACAAGAGGAAAGGUGGACAGGUUGGGGGAUGAAGAGAGACACCGACUGAUAGAUUUAACAAAGGGUAUGAAGAAGCUAAUGGUAGAGUCUGCAAGUACUUCAACAUCAAGAUCAACAAGAGUAAAGUUGGAGAGGUUGGGGGAUGAAGAGACAUUAACUUUUUUUUUUUUAUAACAAAGGCAACAAAAAGUGUAGAAAGAACCCCGAUACUCACCGCUCCCACAACAGACAAAAGUAGAGUGGCCAAGAGAGAGGUCAAUUUCGGGUGGAGAUAGAUGGAUUAACUGAUGGAUUAACGUUGGGUAAAAGAGUAUGAAAGGAGAGAGGAGAGAGUGCAAGUUAUUUACCAUCAAGAAGAACAAUGUGAGGAGAUAUGGACAGGAAAGGGAAUCGAGAGAGACAAUAAAUGACGGAAUAAGAACGUGUAUUAAGAGACUACAAGAGGAGAAUGUUCAGGUUAUUCCCCAUCAAGAUCAACAGGUGGAGAGAUGAACAGGUGAAGGAACCAAGAAAAACACCCGAAACUGACCUCUCGUUCUGGUCACUAGCACCGUUGCCAUAUUAUCGUACUCAGAGCAUAGUAUUUACCGGUUUCUGACGCCUAACUAUUGCCCAGAAACAUCAGGAUCUAUCUCUUUUAACGUAAUUAUAAAUGAGUCUCGUUAUGGGGCCCCAGACGACAGUUUUGGGGCAGGAAGUCGGGAAAUAUAAGCGGCUGAGUAUGACAAUCUGGCACCGUUGGGCCCACUAGCACGAUUUUUGUUGCUGCUGUCCCUCCCUUGCUGUAAAAAAAAAAAAAAAAAAAAAACUUACUAAUGAAUAAACAAAGGGUGUAAUGAGACUCCAAGAAGAUAUCGUUAGUUAUUCACCAUCACUCACUAUUCAUGCCUCUUGUGUAGUACUGUUAUCGGUUAUUCAUUCGCUCUUCAUUAGUUAUUCCCUCUCUCGUUAUGCGAUCGGACGAUUAAAGAGGAGCUUGUCAAGAAUGUUUGUAUAAAAUAAAAACCGCCUUUUCGUUGCUGUUUCUAUUAUUUGCCCUUGAGUUGCCUCCCUGUGAAAGUCAAGGCCAACAUACAUUUCCAGAGGCCACAGAGGAGGUGAGUCGGGUUCUUCUGAGUGCCUCUGACCUUCAUGGUGUUCGGGGUGGGAAACAAGAACAAAGGAUACAGGAAGACGGAAGGACGGUAGAAAAUAGUUGACUGAUGGUGGCUGGAACGUACAGGUGGUAAAAUGAACGUACAGGUGGUAAAAUGAACGUACAGGUGGUAAAAUGAACG